AACGUACAUUACACUCUUUGGUAUUCCGAGGAGUAUGUCUGUUUGAGAACCGUUUCAUUCCUUCACCAAUCUAUUUGUUUUCUUCGGAAGCAUAUAGUUUUGAGUGGAUUUGGGCUUUUCAGCUGAUUCAAAAGGCUGAGGCUUGAAAUGGAUAAUCGAUGGGUUAAAGCUUAGCUUUAAAAAAAUCGAUAGACUUGAUGAUGAGGGAUUUCAUCCUUCUUUUUCUUCAGUCGUUCUGAUUUUUUUAGUUACAGGCUGCUUUUGUCCUAGCGAUGAAACGUUUUAACAUGCCAGGCAUUCUUGGAUUUCUUUAUUGAAAAACUUGAAUGAAUACCUGAACUCAUGGUCUCAAAUCAGACAAGAGAACCCGCUGAACUUAA
rnacentral:misc_RNA from 1 species